UGAGGAACCUGCCCCCGGACUCUGGGAUAACAGUGGGAAACCGCUGCUAAUACCGGAUACACCAUUUCUACGGCAUCGCAGAAAUGAGAAAGAUUUAUCGGUCUGGGAUGGCCUCGCGGCCUAUCAGCUAGUUGGUGUGGGUAAUGGCCCACCAAGGCGACGACGGGUAGCCGGCCUGAGAGGGUGACCGGCCACACGUGGGACUGAGACACGGCCCAGACCUCCGUACGGGA
rnacentral:rRNA from 1 species